rnacentral:rRNA from 1 species
GGCCCAGACUCCUACGGGAGGCAGCAGUGAGGAAUAUUGGUCAAUGGGCGAGAGCCUGAACCAGCCAAGUCGCGUGAGGGAAGACGGUCCUAUGGAUUGUAAACCUCUUUUGUCGGGGAGCAAAAAGGCCUCGUGAGGCCACAAGUGAGAGUACCCGAAGAAAAAGCAUCGGCUAACUCCGUGCCAGCAGCCGCGGUAAUACGGAGGAUGCGAGCGUUAUCCGGAUUUAUUGGGUUUAAAGGGUGCGUAGGCGGGCUGUUAAGUCAGCGGUAAAAUGUCGGGGCUCAACCCCGGCCUGCCGUUGAAACUGGCGGCCUCGAGUGGGCGAGAAGUAUGCGGAAUGCGUGGUGUAGCGGUGAAAUGCAUAGAUAUCACGCAGAACUCCGAUUGCGAAGGCAGCAUACCGGCGCCCGACUGACGCUGAGGCACGAAAGCGUGGGUAUCGAACAGGAUUAGAUACCCGUGUA